rnacentral:rRNA from 1 species
UACGUAGGGUGCAAGCGUUGUCCGGAAUUAUUGGGCGUAAAGAGCUCGUAGGCGGCUUGUCGCGUCGGCUGUGAAAACCCGGGGCUCAACCCCGGGCCUGCAGUCGAUACGGGCAGGCUAGAGUCCGGUAGGGGAGACUGGAAUUCCUGGUGUAGCGGUGAAAUGCGCAGAUAUCAGGAGGAACACCGGUGGCGAAGGCGGGUCUCUGGGCCGGAACUGACGCUAAGGAGCGAAAGCGUGGGGAGCAAACAGG